rnacentral:snRNA from 1 species
UAGCAUUACAGCUCUUUUAGGAUUUGCCUAGCAUGUUUUUCAGUUUUUACUGGAAAGACCCA